AAAUUACACAUUUUAGGGUUCCGUAGCCAAAUGGCAAAAAACGGAACCCUUAUAGAUUCGUCAUGUCUGUCUGUCUGUCCCCGUGUGUCACAGCCACUUUUUUCCGAAACUAUAAAAACUAUACUGUUGAAACUUGGUACGUAGAUGUAUUCUGUGAACCGCAUUAAGAUUUUUACACAAAAAUAGAAAAAAAAACAAAAAAAAACAAACAAACAAACAAACAAACAAAUUCUGGGGGUUCCCCAUACUUAGAACUGAAACUCAAUUUUUUUUUCACAAAACCCAUACGUGUGUGGUAUCUAUGGAUAGGUCUUCAAAAAUGAUAUUGAGGUUUCUAAUAUCAUUUUUUUUCUAAACUGAAUAGUUUGCGCGAGAGACACUUCCAAAGUGUGGUAAAAUGUGUCCCCCCCCCCCCUGUAACUUCUAAAAUAAGAGAAUGAUAAAACAAAAAAAAAAUAUAUGAUGUACAUUACCAUGCAAACUUCCACCGAAAAUUGGUUUGAACGAGAUCUAGUAAGUAGUUUUUUUUUUAAUACGUCAUAAA